rnacentral:tRNA from 1 species
UGGUAAUGCGUUUGAUUCGUAAUCAAAAGAUCGUGGGUUCGACUCCCACAGGUGGCUUUGUAAUUUUAAAAAA